AACAGCCUCUCCCUGGAAGUGAUGCUGAAGGAGGCAUCUUGGGAGCAAGCACACCCUAAAAGUAAAGCCCUGCUGCCAUUUAUUUUCUCAACACCACCCAGGAACAUUCUGGAACAUUCUCUGUAGAUGCCAACAGGUCCUUAAUAGCCUUGCCUGCACCAAAGGCCUUGAUGCGAACAAACAGCUAUUGCUGUCACCUUGGACGACUCAUCCUUCCAGCAGAUUUCAGGCAUUUCCUUGACAGUGGCUUCAAGAAUCUCAUGUUAGCAAGUAAUGCCCGGCUUUGUGGGAGACAUGGAGACCCUCAAAUGAAGAUGCAUUUCUAGGAGCUGACUGAGGUAGAGCACCGGGUAUGGAGAAACUCAGAACCAGAACCUGAAGCCCAGAAGGUCACUUCUAAGUCUGGACACACCUGGGCUGGGUAACUUGUCUCACACCAUGUGCAUGUAGACUCUAGAGCAUGGGACUUAGCUGAGAGAGAGACUAAGAGCACAUGGAGUGUCCUCUAGGGACACAGUGUGAUGUCUCUCCAAUGUGCAGAGAGAUCAUCAUGUGUUUGCCUGGAAUAGAUGUGCUUUGCAGCAUGUAGGACAGGGGGGAAAGACAACAUGUCUGCCAGGAGGAGGCAGAUUAGUAUGAUUGACAUUCAGCUCUGUUGGAUGCUCCCAUCCUCACACUGCCAUAUGCAUUGUGUGUCAAGGUGAUUGAUGGUCCCUGAGGUUACCAUGGAUUUAAGGGUGUGGUACUUGGUCCUGAAGCCAAGCAAUGACCUUUUCUCAUUAUCUGAGCAUCAUGGAUGAAGUUGGGACUCCACUGCUUUCACAGGGCUUCCUUGAGACAUCAGUGGCCUCCUGAACCCAGAGGCAUAGGCAACUGGUUUUUAGUUCCUGUAAUCCAUUCUGGAGGAUUUAUCACUGACUCCCUAGGCAAUCGCCAUGGAGGCAAAGGGUGGCUGAAUGCAAAGGUACUCAGUGAUGACCAAGAACUUCAACACACAGGUUUGUGUUUCUUCUAAGAAGCCCCAUGUAGGACAGCUAGAGGGCCAAUACUGAAGCUGGGAAGUAACACGGUAUGACCAACCUGGUCUGCUGACUGUGGAGAGAACCAGGAACUGCUGGACCUGACUCAGCCCUGGGUACAGAGACCAAGAUCUGGGGUUCUCUCAGAGGGCUCCACCCGAAGAUGGUGCAAUGGUCAAGGCCACAGACUUUGUUCCAGGUCUGGAGGACUCUCAGAGCCCCUCCACCCCGUUGGGUGGUGGUGAUAGGAGAGAUGGCAUUACGACUUUGUCCUUCACACUGCAGACGCCCUCAGCAGGGACAGCUGAUUUACAGCAAGCUUGGACAGAGCAGGAAAGGAUACAGCCCCGUUCUCCAGCCCUGCAGGAAGGUCCCAGAAUAGUUGCGGUGGGGUAGCUGUUGAAGAGGUCAAGCAGGGCUAGCCACUAUUGAAAAUGAAGGGGGCGGGUCCUCUUCCAUCUCAGAGAGAUAUCAACCAGGCUCUUUGAAGGAAAGAAAGUAAUUUCAUCACUGCAGAGCUUUGAAAUUAAUUUAUCGCAAUUAGAGCGAGAGCCCUGGUUCUGAGCACGUUCGGCUUACCGCUCAGCUCUGCGGCAGCGGCUGUGCAGCAGGAGCAUGAACUGAAGGGAACUGUUGCCAUUCCAUCUUCAGAUAUCUGAUUCCUCCCACCCAGGCCCACCAAAGUCACACAGGGGUGGGGAACCAGGCCAGACUGGAAUCCAAGCCUAGUGCCUGCGCUGACUCUGUCUGGCUAUGGGCCGCUUUGCCACUGUCCAGGCUUUGAUGACCUCAUAGUCGCGUCAUUCCCGUGGACAAGUUCCUCCACGUGCUUCUCCCCAGCUCUACAGGCAUAUCAGGUACCUUUUCUGGUGCUACGACAAAAUACCCCACAAAAGCCACUUAAGGAAGGAACAGUUUAUUCUGGCUCAUGGUUUGAGGGUAGCGUCCUUCAUGGUGGAGAAGCCAUGGUAGCAGGAAUGUGAGGCAGCUGCGCACACUGCAUCUGCAGUCAGGAAGUAGAGAGGGAUGAAUGCUGGUGCUCAACUCGCUUUUUCCAUUUUAUGCAGCCAGGGACCCCAGCCUAGGAAUGGCGCCACCCACAUUUGGAACGGGGCUUCCCAAUUGAGUUAUUCUUCCCAGGCAUAUUCAGAGGCUUUGUCUCCCAGGUGACCCUCUAUCCUGCUAAGCUGUCACUGUGGAUGAACCAGCACAGUAGACGUGUUUUCAGUUCACCCACGGCCCACACCUGAUGAGUCUCCUUCCUGUGGGGACAGGCAUCAUUCAGUCACUCUGUCAUGGUCCUCCACUGGGGGGGAGGUGCUGAGGUUACAGAGCCCUUCCUUGAGUUAGGUGUCGGGAGCACGUAGGGGAGUAGGUACACAGCUUCCCUUGUGUAGAGCACUCACUAGGAAGAUGCAUCUCCUGGGCCUGGAUGGAUGUCCUGGGCAGCUCUAACCAGUGACCACAUAGCGGAAGCUUACAGCAACAGAGUUGACACAGUGUGCAGUGGAGGUGUUAGUGGGGCCGUGAUCCCUCUGGGGACUCUCGGGGAGGGCCCUUCCUGUCUCCUCCCACUCUUUGUGACUCCAGGUGAACUCGAACUGUGGUCAUGCUACUUGUAUCUCUACCUCCCUAUUCACGUGGUUGACUUCUUUUUGUGUCUCUGAGCAUCUCCCCCUUCCCCCAUAGAUCCCUGGCUAUUAGAUAUGGGGUUCAGCCCACUUGUUAAGAUUAAUUGUUACCGUCUACUUGGCUGGAUUUAGGAUCACUGUAGAAGCGCGUUGUACAGUGUCUAUAAGGAGGCCUCCCAAUGAAGAAAGACCCGCCCUGCAUGCGGGUGGUACCAUUCCCUAGGCUGAGUUCUCCAACUGUAUAAAAGGACAGCGCUCAACACCAGCAUUCGUGUCUCUCUGCUUCUUGACUGCAGACGCAGUGUGACCUCAAGCCCCUGCGUCAGUGGCUUCUUUACCAUGGUAGUUUGUGCCCUCAUACUGCCAGCCAAAAUGAACCCUGCCAUCUUUAAGCAGUUUCUGUCAGGUGUUUUCUCAUACCAACAGGUGGUAACUUAGCCGUUUGACCCUUAUCUUUAUCACCAAGCAAGGUCACAUUCUACAUUCUGAGGCAAAUGGAUUUGGGGUAAAUGACAUUUGGCUCCCAGCAGUGUUCCUUCUAACUCUCUACUCUCUGAAUUGUGCACAAUUUUUGGGGGGGGGACAGAACAAGGUAUAUGUAUGUGUAUUAUAUAUAAAAGGCGGGAUUUACUGAGUUGCCUUAUACCAGACAGACUGGAGAACCAGAUAACUUGGUGGCUACCCAAUCCACAAAUCUUAGCAGCAGCCCCAAUUUGAUGCUGAAGGCCUAGAAGCCUUGGACAGUUGGACUUGAGUCCAAAGUAAAAGGUCAAAGAAGCUGGUGUUUGGUGGACUUUUGGUCCUGCAUGCUUUGCCUUCUUUGGCCUAGCCCUAGCAUCCGGGAGUCACCCCAUUGUGAGGCACAGCCCAUGCUGACGGUGGACGUUUUCCUCCUGGUGAUUGUUCUGCAUGUCAGCUGUUUCCCCACAUACAGGCACCCAGGUCUGUCUCACCGACAUUUCUUAAAUCAGGCAGGCUAACCAGCAAGAGAAAAGGUCUCAUGGGGGGAACAGCUGGGGCCUGUGGGGCCAUUACUACUCCCCUACCCAAGUCCAUACUCCUUCGCUGACCAUAGCCUCACAACAGUCCCCCGAACCCCAGCCUUGUACUCUCUGGGUCAUACCAGAUUUUCACGAGGUCACAAGGCCCAGAGUGCCCUUGGGAUAGAACUGCGCUUCUCACCCCAAUGGAGCAGGCUCUUUGCAUCCUGCUGCAUCUGCUGAGCACUGUGGAUGCCGGCUGAGACUUGCCCAUCAGACUGGUCUCUGAGGAUGAACUCUGGGAGGUGGUACCUUAUUCCCAGUAUCCAGGGACUGAGGUAGGAUGGUGGACAACAGAGCCGCUGACGGGACCCUUAGACUCACUGGAGCGUCACUCCUCUGAGUGGUUCUCUGUGGUCCUCAUCAGAGCAUCUCCCACCCCCUAUUAGUUAAAUCUGUCCCAUUGGUACUUGUAACAUGAUGGAAACUCGAGAGAAGCAUCCCAGGGCCCAGGAGCUGCCGCCUGCCAUCACUGUGGAAAAUAAAUCUCCUUCCCUGAUAGCAGGCAGUGUCUGCAGUAUUUCAUAAUUGGCGAGAUGAAGAGCCCCGGUUUUUUGAGAUGUUUGGGAAUAACUCAGUUUAAAAGACCACGUCCUAACAACCGGAAUGGGCCGAUUAUGCCAGGAUAAUCCACUGAGAAUCAUUGCUGCACACGGUAGGGAAAUGAGUCUGAAUGAUUGCCAAAAGUUUGCUGAGAGUCUCACGUUCCCACUGCCAGGAGACACGUUAACGCCCAUUUGUUAAAAAUGUUUUUGAGGUUUAUUUCCAAUAGAAGGAUUUGUUUCAUUUAAGUGUGUCCUCCAAAAUGCUUACUGUGACAAGGCCA